AGUGAACGCUGGCGGUAGGCCUAACACAUGCAAGUCGAACGGCGGCACAGUAAGAGCUUGCUCUUACGGGUGGCGAGUGGCGGACGGGUGAGGAAUACAUCGGAAUCUACUUUUUCGUGGGGGAUAACGUAGGGAAACUUACGCUAAUACCGCAUACGACCUACGGGUGAAAGCAGGGGAUCUUCGGACCUUGCGCGAUUGAAUGAGCCGAUGUCGGAUUAGCUAGUUGGCGGGGCAAAGGCCCACCAAGGCGACGAUCCGUAGCUGGUCUGAGAGGAUGAUCAGCCACACUGGAACUGAGACACGGUCCAGACUCCUACGGGAGGCAGCAGUGGGGAAUAUUGGACAAUGGGCGCAAGCCUGAUCCAGCCAUACCGCGUGGGUGAAGAAGGCCUUCGGGUUGUAAAGCCCUUUUGUUGGGAAAGAAAAGCAGCAGGUUAAUACCCCGCUGUUCUGACGGUACCCAAAGAAUAAGCACCGGCUAACUUCGUG
rnacentral:rRNA from 1 species